CCCGUGCCCCUGCUCGCGCUGCAGCCCGUGGAAGGGUUCCGUCCAGCGUAUCCUUCAGAUCUUGCUGUAGGCCUCUGGUGUCUGUGCGCGCGCGGCAGGGGCGGCGGCGGCGACGGCCGGAGGUGUACGGGUCAGCGGGUUGCGGAGGAUCGUGCGGGUCGCAAAGGGAAGCCGAGUGCUCCUGCGGCUCCCAGACUGCAACCAGGGUGUAAAUCCAAACCGCUUCCAACUCAAGGCAAGUAACAGCCCACGGUGUUCUGGCAGGAAAACAUCAGCUAAGAAAGGAAACUGGGUCCUAUGGCUUGGACUUUCCAACUCUGACAGACCGGCAGGACAGAAACAACUGGUUCAGGAGCCCUUGCCAGCCUCUAGAGAAAUCCCAGAACACUCAGCCCUGAUGACACAUUAAUACCCUGCACAUAUUGGAGACUGCUGACCACGCAUACUCACCAAGCCACAGACUUGUCUUCCACAAGCACGUUCUUACCUCAGCCACAAAGUGCCCAAGCCACAUGUACUAAAGGUUGAAAUCAGAGACAUGUACAGGGUAUUAAACAGAUACCAAGGGGAACAGUUAACUUGAAUAUAGCUUGAAUAGAAAGUCAAAAUCAGCAACAAGUCUACAAUCCAGUGCUGAUAUCAGAUACAAGCUUCAAGGACAACUUUCUGUGUAUGUUUUUUUUUUUUUUUUUGAGACGUAGUCUCGCCCUGUUGCCCAGGCUGGAGUGCAGUGGUGCAAUCUCGGCUCACCACAACCUCUGCCUCCCAGGUUCAAGUGAUUCUCCUGCCUCAGCCUCCCCAGUAGCUGGGAUUAUAGGCGAAUGCCACCAUGCCUGGCUAAUUUUUGUAUUUUUAGUAGAGACGGGGUUUCAGCAUGUUGGCCAGGCCGGUCUCAAACUCCUGACCUUGUGAUCCACCCGUCUCGGCCUCCCAAAGUGCUGGGAUUAUAGGCGUGAGCCACCACUUCUGGCCACAAAUUUCUUUUUGAAGGCUUAUUCCAGUUUUGUGAGGCUAGCAUGAGGUGUAUGCAUUUGCCAGGGGCAAAUUUAUACUGCUGAAUUAACCCAUGCAACAAAUGCUGCACAUCUGCUCGCAGUCCAUUUAGAGGCAUUUGCGGUAGACAAUGGAGGGGCCAGACUCAUCAUACAUACCUGAUGGCUAACCCACAUGCUUGCAGUCCAUUUAGAGGCAUUUGCAGUGGAUGAUGGAGGGGCCACAUACCUAAUUGCUAAUCCACAUCUGCUGGAAGGUGGACAGUGAGGCCAGGAUGGAACCACCAAUCCACACCGAGUACUUGUGCUCUGGGGGCAUGAUGAACUUGAUCUUCAUGGUGCUGGAUGCCAGCGUGGUGAUGCCAGGGCACAUGGUGGUGCUGCUGGACAGCACUGUGUUGGCGUACAGGUCUUUGCGGAUGUCCACGUCACACUUCAUGAUGGAGUUGAAGGUGGUCUUGUGGAUGCCGCAGGAUUCCAUGCCCAAGAAGGAAGGCUGGAACAGCACCUGCAGACACCAGAACCACUUGUUGCCGAUGGUGAUGACCUGACCUGGCCAUCAGGCAGCUCAUAGCUCUUCUCCAGGGAGGAGGAGGAUGUGGCAGUGGCCAUCUCCUGCUCGAAGUCCAGGGCGAUGUAGCACACCUUCUCGUUGAUGUCGCGCACAAUCUCCUGCUUGGCCGUGAUGGUGAAGCUUGGUGAGGAUCUUCAUGAGGUAGUUGGUCAGGUCCUGGCCAGCCAGGUCCAGACGCAGGAUGGCGUGGUGGGAGGGCAUGGCCCUCGUAGAUGGGUACCAUGUAGGUGGCCCUGUCUCCAGAGUCCAUGACAGUGCCAGUGAUGCGCCCAGAGGCUUAGAGGGACAACACGGCCUGGAUGGCCACAUACAUGGCUGGGGUGUUGAAGGUCUCAAACAUGAUCUGAGUCAUCUUUUCUCUGUUGGCCUUGGGGUUCGAGGGGCCUCGGCCAACAGCACCGGGUGCUUCUCUGGGGUCAUGCACAGCUCGUUGUAGAAGGUGUGGUGCCAGAUCUUCUCCAUGUCAUCCCAGAUGGUGAUGAUGCCAUGCUCGAUAGGGUACUUCAGGGUCAGGAUGUCGUGCUUGCUCUGGGCCUCAUGGCCCAUGUAGGAGUCCUUCUGGCCCAUGCCCACCAUCACACCCUGGUGCCGGGGUCACCUGAUGAUGGAGGGGAACACAGCUCAGGGGCCAUCCAUCCCCAGCAAAGCCAGCUUUGCACAUGCCAGAGCCAUUGUCAAUGAUGAGCGCGGCGAUCUCUAUUUCCAUUGCAACCUGUGGAAGAGCAGGGCGGUGGAGCCAUGGGAAGACACGGUGUGGGGGCUGGUGGCAGCAAGUGACUGUAUUACUGGAUUUUGAAGUUAACAAUUAGCCAAAUACUGAUUUUUGAUGGAAAUUUAUUCUUAAUUAUUUUCUUUUAGAAAAAAA
rnacentral:lncRNA from 1 species